rnacentral:tRNA from 1 species
CGGGGGUUAGCGCAGUGGUAGCGCAUCUGUUUUGGGAGCAGAGGGUCGCGAGUUCGAAUCCCGCAUCCCCGACCA